rnacentral:rRNA from 1 species
UAUCUCUGUAGAGUCUGCAUAUCAAUAAGCGGAGGAAAAGAAACUAACAAGGAUUCCCUUAGUAACGGCGAGUGAAGCGGGAAGAGCUCAAAUUUGAAAUCUUCAAGGUUCUACCUUGACGAAUUGUAGUUUAAAGAAGUGUUUUCUGUUAGAUGAGUAGCAAAAGUUCCUUGGAAUGGGACAUCAUAGAGGGUGAGAAUCCCGUAUUUGGUUAUUCAUUCUAGCUUUGUGAUACACUUUCAAAGAGUCGGAUUGUUUGGGAAUGCAGUCCAAAAUGGGUGGUAAAUUUCAUCUAAAGCUAAAUAUUGGCGAGAGACCGAUAGCGAACAAGUACCGUGAGGGAAAGAUGAAAAGAACUUUGAAAAGAGAGUUAAACAGUACGUGAAAUUGUCAAAAGGGAAGCGUUUGACACCAGUGUUGUUUUUCCGAAAAUCAAUUACGAAUGGCUUGAUUUUGUGUUGUAUUGACCUUAUCAGCUUUCUGCACUUUUUUCGAGUCUUUCUUAAUGCACUUUUCGGUUAACAAGUCAACAUCAAUUUCUUUUGUUGUAAAAGAGUAUUCGGAAGGUGGCUUUCUUUUCGGAGAAAGUGUUUAUAGCCCUAUACUUCUACAAUCGGAGAGAUUGAGGUCUGCAGCGUAGAUCCUUCGGGGUUAGAUACACUUGUGCUAAGUUGUAGCUUUUCAUAGACAACUUGUUGACUAUGUUUAGUCAUGCGGCUUACUCGCUUGUGCUAUUUUACCUACGCUUAGGAUGUUGACUGAUAUGUAGUCGUA